GCAGUCGAGCGGACAGAUGGGAGCUUGCUCCCUGAAGUCAGCGGCGGACGCGUGAGUAACACGUGGGCAACCUGCCUGUAAGACUGGGAUAACUCCGGGAAACCGGGGCUAAUACCGGAUAAUUCUUUCCCUCACAUGAGGGAAAGCUGACAGAUGGUUUCGGCUAUCACUUACAGAUGGGCCCGCGGCGCAUUAGCUAGUUGGUGAGGUAACGGCUCACCAAGGCAACGAUGCGUAGCCGACCUGAGAGGGUGAUCGGCCACACUGGGACUGACACACGGCCCACACUCCUACGGGAGGCAGCAGUAGGGAAUCUUCCGCAAUGGACGAAAGUCUGACGGAGCAACGCCGCGUGAGUGAUGAAGGUUUUCGGAUCGUAAAACUCUGUUGUUAGGGAAGAACAAGUACCGGAGUAACUGCCGGUACCUUGACGGUACCUAACCAGAAAUCCACGGCUAACUACGUGCCAGCAGCCGCGGAAAUACCUAGGUGGCAAGCGUUGUCCGGAAUUAUUGGGCGUAAAGCGCGCGCAGGUGGUUCCUUAAGUCUGAUGUGAAAACCCCCCGGCUCAACCGG
rnacentral:rRNA from 1 species